AUGGCGAGCAUCUUCUGGGGCGGCGCCCAGGCCGACGAGGUGGCCGACUUCGACGAGCACGACCCCACCCCCUACGGCGGCGGCUACGACAUCACCCUCACCUUCGGCCGCGCCCUCCCGCCCUCCGACGAGAUCUGCUACCCCAUCUCCACCGCCUCCACCUCCUCGUCCUCGUACGACAGCCACGGCGCGGCCGAGCAGCAGCGCAGGAGGCCGCAGGACCAGGACAGCCACGGCUCCGCAGGUCACGGGAGGAGGCCGGAGGAGACACACGGCUCCUCUGCUGGUUACGGGCAAGGGAGGAAGGCGCACGACGACGACGACGACCGGCCCAGCUACGGCCGCAAGAAGAAUGAUGACGACGAUGACGAGGAUAGGCAGCGGCGAUACAAGAAGCGCGACGACGACGACGAUGAUGAGAGGAAGCCACGGCACAAGAAGCACGACGAUGAUGACGACGACGAUGGCGAGAGGAAGCCGCGGUACAAGAAACGUGACGACGACGAUGAUGAUGAGGAUGACAGGAAGCCGCGUUACAAGAAGCGUGACGACGACGACGACGAUGAUAGAAAGCCACGUUACAAGAAGCACGACGACGAUGACGACGACGACGAUGAGAGGAAGCAGCGUCGCGGGAACAACCGCCGCCGCCAUGAUUACGAUGACUGA
rnacentral:rRNA from 1 species